rnacentral:rRNA from 1 species
GACGAACGCUGGCGGCGUGCUUAACACAUGCAAGUCGAACGGAAAGGCCUGCUUUCCCUUGUGGAUUGCGGGUACUCGAGUGGCGAACGGGUGAGUAACACGUGAGUGAUCUGCCCCCAACUUGGGUAUAAGCCUGGGAAACUGGGUCUAAUUCCCGAUAGGACUGCAGGGUGGUGCCUGUGGUGGAAAACGAUUUUCUAGUGGUUGGUGAUGAGCUCGCGGCCUAUCAGCUUGUUGGUGGGGUAAUGGCCUACCAAGGCGGCGACGGGUAGCCGGCCUGAGAGGGUGGACGGCCACAUUGGGACUGAGAUACGGCCCAGACGCCUACGGGAGGCAGCAGUGGGGAAUAUUGCACAAUGGGCGGAAGCCUGAUGCAGCGACGCCGCGUGGGGGAUGACGGCCUUCGGGUUGUAAACUCCUUUCGACCGCGAGGAAGCCACCUGGUUGGAAGGGUGGUGACGGUAGUGGUAGAAGAAGCACCGGCUAACUACGUG